ACAGUACCUGGUAAAGAUACCCCGGCUAACUCCGUGCCAGCAGCCGCGGUAAUACGUGAGGGGGUUAGCGUUGUUCGGAAUUACUGGGGUAAAGCGCACGUAGCCGGAUCUGAAAGUUGGGGGUGAAAUCCCGGGGCUCAACCCUGGAACUGCCUUCUAAACUCCUGUCUUGAGUUCGAGAGAGGUGAGUGAAUUCCAAGUGUAGAGGUGAAAUUCGUAGAUAUUUGGAGGAACACCAGUGCGAAGGCGGCUCACUGGCUCCAUACUGACGCUGAGGUGCGAAAGUGUGGGGAGCAACAGGAUUAGAUACCCUGGUAGUCCACACCGUAAACGAUGAAUGCCAGACGUCGGCCAGCAUGCUGGUUGGUGACACACCUAACGGAUUAAGCAUUCCGCCUGCGGAUACGGUCGCAAGAUUAAAACUCAAAGGAAUUGACGG
rnacentral:rRNA from 1 species